AACAUUCAACGCUGUCGGUGAGUUUGGGAUUAAAUUGGCACAAAACCAUCGACCGUUGAUUGUAC
ensembl:miRNA gmo-mir-181a-1 gmo-mir-181a-1